CUCUGGGGUGCAGUCCCUGGCCUGGGCUCCAUGGCUCCUGGAUCCCAGCUCUCCUGAAGGAUGGGACUGCUGCACUGGUGGAAAGGUGUAUUCCUUCCUUUUGGGUGUAUUUAAUAUCCAGUUGUACAUCCUCUGUUUUAUACCUGGCUGUGUUUGUGUUUCUCUGCAGUCAGUUGCCUGUUUAGAAAAGAAAACCUGAGUGUGUGAUAUUAGAAGAGAAAGUAAAGAGAUUGAAAGAAUAAAACUGCUGAAUGUCAAACUCACAAGGACCUACUGAAAUUCAGGGCAAAAUCCAAAUUCAGUGCAUGGAGACAGACAGCAGCCUACGGAGCCAAAUGGGAAUUUCACUGCUGUGAGGAGUCCCUGACAUGCUGAUUCUUGCACUGCCUCGUUGGCAAGACUGUGAAGAAGAUACAUGACCAAUGUAAGAAAAAACAGAUUAUGAC
rnacentral:lncRNA from 1 species